UUUCAUUGAGACUUCGGUGGAUUUGAUUUAUUUCUAGUGGCGGACGGGUGAGUAACGCGUGGGUAACCUGCCUUAUACAGGGGGAUAACAGUCAGAAAUGGCUGCUAAUACCGCAUAAGCGCACAGAGCUGCAUGGCUCGGUGUGAAAAACUCCGGUGGUAUAAGAUGGACCCGCGUUGGAUUAGCUUGUUGGUGGGGUAACGGCCCACCAAGGCGACGAUCCAUAGCCGGCCUGAGAGGGUGAACGGCCACAUUGGGACUGAGACACGGCCCAGACUCCUACGGGAGGCAGCAGUGGGGAAUAUUGCACAAUGGGGGAAACCCUGAUGCAGCGACGCCGCGUGAAGGAAGAAGUAUCUCGGUAUGUAAACUUCUAUCAGCAGGGAAGAUAGUGACGGUACCUGACUAAGAAGCCCCGGCUAACUACGUGCCAGCAGCCGCGGUAAUACGUAGGGGGCAAGCGUUAUCCGGAUUUACUGGGUGUAAAGGGAGCGUAGACGGUGUGGCAAGUCUGAUGUGAAAGGCAUGGGCUCAACCCGUGGACUGCAUUGGAAACUGUCAUACUUGAGUGCCGGAGGGGUAAGCGGAAUUCCUAGUGUAGCGGUGAAAUGCGUAGAUAUUAGGAGGAACACCAGUGGCGAAGGCGGCUUACUGGACGGUAU
rnacentral:rRNA from 1 species